CUGAAACUGCGCAUUUAUUAAUUAGUUCGUUAAUUUAUUUCACCAGCAGUUUUACAUUAUAACCACCAGCAUUAAAACUAUGUUGUUUAUCAUUUUUAAAGAUAUUUCUUGUUUUCAGUUUCUUUUGGUUCAUAUAUGAUGUAGUUAAACUACAAUGUAUAUAAUUAUGCAUUUAUGAAAAAUAUCAAGACUUCAAAUAAAGUGCUAGAUCUAUAACACUAAAAAUUAUAUAUUGACUACAUACAGAAGACUGAGGCCUACACCGCAGUAAGACAGGUCAUGGCACUUCCAUUUGUCCCGUGGAUGAGGUGGAGCACUGUUUCAUUGCUGUCUUUGGACCAAGUGUUCAACUACAUUCAGAGGAAGCCAAGAAUCUGCCACUGUAGAUCCAGAUUG